rnacentral:misc_RNA from 1 species
GAUGAAGAACGCAGCGAAAUGCGAUAAGUAAUGUGAAUUGCAGAAUUCAGUGAAUCAUCGAAUCUUUGAACGCUCAUUGCGUCCGCUAGUAUUCUGGCGGGCAUGCCUGUCCGAGCGUCAUUUCAACCCUCAAGCCCCCGGGCUUGGUGUUGGGGAUCGGCGAGCCUCCGCGCCCGCCGUCCCCUAAAUCUAGUGGCGGUCUCGCUGUAGCUUCCUCUGCGUAGUAGCACACCUCGCACUGGGAAACAGCGCGGCCACGCCGUUAAACCCCCAACUUCUGAACGUUUGACCUCGGAUCAGGUAGGAAUACCCGCUGAACUUAAGCAUAUCAAUAAGCGGAGGA